AAAUUAUACAGAGAUCUGGAAGUCUCAAAAGGAAUCCUUUUAUCCUAAAAUGGAUAGCUCAGCAUCUAGCUCACCUAUCUCUCUGCGUCCAUGACAGACUGAGGUCCUGUGUGCUUUAUCCUAAUUUACACUCCUGAAUUACCUUCGGUGAGCCUCAUUUUCCUCAUCCUUCAUUGUCAGACACCUCCAUUUCAUUGUUUUCGACACGGAGAUGGCUCACGACAUCCUCAAGGUCUGGGACGGGCCGGUGGACAGUGAUAUCCUGCUGAAGGAGUGGAGUGGCUCUGCCCUUCCGGAGGACAUCCACAGCACCUUCAACUCACUCACCCUGCAGUUCGACAGCGACUUCUUCAUCAGCAAGUCUGGCUUCUCCAUCCAGUUCUCCACCUCAAUUGCAGCCACCUGUAACGAUCCAGGUAUGCCCCAGAAUGGCACCCGCUAUGGAGACAGCAGAGAGGCUGGAGACACCGUCACAUUCCAGUGUGACCCUGGCUAUCAGCUCCAAGGACAAGCCAAAAUCACCUGUGUGCAGCUGAAUAACCGGUUCUUUUGGCAACCAGACCCUCCUACGUGCAUAGCUGCUUGUGGAGGGAAUCUGACGGGCCCAGCAGGUGUUAUUUUGUCACCCAACUACCCACAGCCAUAUCCUCCUGGGAAGGAAUGUGACUGGAGAGUAAAAGUGAACCCGGACUUUGUCAUCGCCUUGAUAUUCAAAAGUUUCAACAUGGAGCCCAGCUAUGACUUCCUACACAUCUAUGAAGGGGAAGAUUCCAACAGCCCCCUCAUUGGGAGUUACCAGGGCUCUCAGGCCCCAGAAAGAAUAGAGAGUAGCGGAAACAGCCUGUUUCUGGCAUUUCGGAGUGAUGCCUCCGUGGGCCUUUCAGGGUUCGCCAUUGAAUUUAAAGAGAAACCACGGGAAGCUUGUUUUGACCCAGGAAAUAUAAUGAAUGGGACAAGAAUUGGAACAGACUUCAAGCUUGGCUCCACCAUCACCUACCAGUGUGACUCUGGCUACAAGAUUCUUGACCCCUCAUCCAUCACCUGUGUGAUUGGGGCCGAUGGGAAACCCUCCUGGGACCAAGUGCUGCCCUCCUGCAAUGCUCCCUGCGGAGGCCAGUACACGGGAUCAGAAGGGGUAGUUUUAUCACCAAACUACCCCCAUAAUUACACAGCUGGUCAAAUAUGCCUCUAUUCCAUCACGGUACCAAAGGAAUUCGUGGUCUUUGGUCAGUUUGCCUAUUUCCAGACAGCCCUGAAUGAUUUGGCAGAAUUAUUUGAUGGAACCCAUGCACAGGCCAGACUUCUCAGCUCGCUCUCGGGGUCUCACUCAGGGGAAACAUUGCCUUUGGCUACGUCAAAUCAAAUUCUGCUCCGAUUCAGUGCAAAGAGCGGUGCCUCUGCCCGGGGCUUCCACUUCGUGUAUCAAGCUGUUCCUCGUACCAGUGACACCCAAUGCAGCUCUGUCCCCGAGCCCAGAUACGGAAGGAGAAUUGGUUCUGAGUUUUCGGCCGGCUCCAUCGUCCGAUUCGAGUGCAACCCGGGAUACCUGCUUCAGGGUUCCACGGCGCUCCACUGCCAGUCCGUGCCCAAUGCCUUGGCACAGUGGAACGACACGAUCCCCAGCUGUGUGGUACCCUGCAGUGGCAAUUUCACUCAACGAAGAGGUACAAUCCUGUCCCCCGGCUACCCUGAGCCAUACGGAAACAACUUGAACUGUAUAUGGAAGAUCAUAGUUACGGAGGGCUCGGGAAUUCAGAUCCAAGUGAUCAGUUUUGCCACGGAGCAGAACUGGGACUCCCUUGAGAUCCACGAUGGUGGGGAUGUGACCGCACCGAGACUGGGAAGCUUCUCAGGCACCACAGUACCAGCACUGCUGAACAGUACUUCCAACCAACUCUACCUGCAUUUCCAGUCUGACAUUAGUGUGGCAGCUGCUGGUUUCCACCUGGAAUACAAAACUGUAGGUCUUGCUGCAUGCCAAGAACCAGCCCUCCCCAGCAACAGCAUCAAAAUCGGAGAUCGGUACAUGGUGAACGACGUGCUCUCCUUCCAGUGCGAGCCCGGGUACACCCUGCAGGGCCGUUCCCACAUUUCCUGUAUGCCAGGGACCGUUCGCCGUUGGAACUAUCCGUCUCCCCUGUGCAUUGCAACCUGUGGAGGGACGCUGAGCACCUUGGGUGGUGUGAUCCUGAGCCCCGGCUUCCCGGGUUCUUACCCCAACAACUUAGACUGCACCUGGAGGAUCUCAUUACCCAUCGGCUAUGGUGCACAUAUUCAGUUUCUGAAUUUUUCUACCGAAGCUAAUCAUGACUUCCUUGAAAUUCAAAAUGGACCUUACCACACCAGCCCCAUGAUUGGACAGUUUAGCGGCACGGAUCUCCCCGCGGCCCUGCUCAGCACAACGCAUGAAACCCUCAUCCACUUUUAUAGUGACCAUUCGCAAAACCGGCAAGGAUUUAAACUUGCUUACCAAGGAGGAUCUGGAAACAUUGGUCCUGCUUUCCCAUGUCUUGACACCCCAUUCCAAGCCAGGUGUCAAGGAGAAGAAAGGACUUUCAAUAAAAAAAAAAAAACAAAAACUCGAAACAACAUGUUUUUUAUUGUACACAAUUAAUUUCCUAUCACUGAGAUAUAAAAAUAAAUAAUACAAAUAAAUGAGAACAUGAAUUUGAGCUAUUUUAUUUUCUUGUAGGGUAUCGUAUCUGACAGAGGUGACACUUAAUUAGAUAGUUUGUCAGUGUUUGCCAUUUUAUAAAAUUGAUAAAUUGAUGACACUUAACUCUGAUAUGUAAGUCAAAUAAACAUUCCUAGGUUCUACUUGAGAUCUAGAAGCUAAGAUUAUAAUUAAUAACUCCUAAGAAGAUGCAUAAAUCAUACAGAGAAUUCUUGUCAUUUUCAAUGAUGUCUGUGCUGUACACCUUAUUCUUAAAGUUUGUCAUUUAUUUAUGACCAUGUAAAGGUCAGAGAUGUUACUAUAGACGUAGCUAUCUUGAAGUUAUAUGACUUAUUAAGAACUUUGGUAAAAUCAAGCCAUGCACUCGAUUUCUAAGUCAAGAAUUGAAAAAUUGAUAAUAGCAUGAAGAUAUUUAUCAACUAACUAGAUAUUAGCGGGAAAAUAGACGUUAGGGAGAUAACUGCAUGGUUUCAUUGCACCUAUGAUUUAAACACUUGAUGUGAAUAAUAGUUAUUUUUUUCAGAUCUAAACAAAGGAUUCCUUUAUAAAAGAUAAAAUUCUCUGUGUUAUUUUACUUUUGUUGGUAUUGCCUUGGGCUUAUUGAUACUUAGAUUUUCAUAAUACUCAUAAAAAUUUUGCCAUGUUAAAGAUUUUAGUGACUUCCUUUUCUUUUAGGUUUUGCAAUUUGGAGAAGUUAAGUCCCUCCCUCCCUCCCUCCCUUCUUUCCUUCCCUCCUUCCCUCUUUCCUUCCUUCCUUCUUUCCUUCCCUUCCUUCCUUCCUUCCUUCCUUCCUCCCUCCCUCCCUCCCUCUCACUCCUUCCCUUCCUCCUUUCCUUCCUUUGUUCUUUAGUAUCUUGCUCUCUUUCUUUUCUGUGUUAUAAAGCAUAUUCCUGCAUUGUAAUGCAUAAACUUUUUUGGGAAAGAAAACUUAUUCAAUGCCAAAAUCUCAAAGAUAAUUUUAAUGCUUUAGGCAUAGCAAGUAAAAAUGUCUUUUAUUUUCAAAGUUCCACUAUUUUUCUUCUUCCUUUUGCUAUGUGUGCUAAACACCAUUUAUAAAGAUAAUCGAAUGUGUUAAAUCUGUUUAUUCUUCAUCACAACCAUAAAACUGCUGAAUUUUAUGUGAAAUGAUUUUCUUAGAAAAUAGGCUGUAGUUUGUUAUACCAAUUUUUCCCCUUUAGAAGAACAAGCAAUUAAGCCACCUCCAGGUACAAUGAACAUCUGAACAAUUCAUUCUGAAUUAUGUGAGCAGGCAGACUGUUGCUUGUAUACAAACCAUAAUUUGUCCAUAAAGUUGAUAUGCUUCU
rnacentral:sRNA from 1 species